GCCUAUGACCAUACCUCCCUGAAUGUGCUUGAUCUCAUCUGAUCUCAUGAAGCUAAGCAGGGUGGGGCCUGGUUAGUACUUGGAUGGGAGACUGUCAGAAAUAAGGUGCUGAUGGCU
rnacentral:rRNA from 1 species